AUGAUAUUUGGGCCACAGCUGUAUUGUCCAGAAUGGCUGUGGUGGAAACAUCAGUUGUUCCUGAAUGCAUUCAGAAUACUAUUAAAACUUUUGAAGAUGUUUUUCAAGAACCUAAAGGAUUACCCCCUCAGAGAAUUUGAUCAUGCUAUUUCUCUUCUUCCAAACAGUGCACCUGUGAAUUCCAGGCCCUAUAGAUACUCGCCCUUACAAAAAGAUGAGAUCAAGAGGCAAGUAGCGGAGAUGAUCCAAGCAGGAAUUGUGAAACCUAGCAUGUCACCCUAUGCAUCACCUGUCUUGUUGGUCAAGAAAAAAGAUGGAAUAUGGAGAUUUUGUGUGGAUUAUAGAAGACUGAAUUCAGUGACAGUAAAAAGCAAGUUUCCUUUGCCUGUCGUAGAUGAGUUGCUGGAUGAACUGGCAGGUGCAAAGUGGUUUUCCAAAUUAGAUCUCAGGUCUAGUUAUCACCAGAUACGAAUGGUGGAAAGUGACGAGGAAAAAACUGCCUUCAAAACACAUCAAGGGCAAUAUCAAUUUAGAGUUAUGCCUUUUGGGUUGACAAAUGCUCCAGCUACCUUCCAAUGUUUAAUGAAUGCAAUUUUUGCAAGAUUUAUCAGAAAAUUUGUGCUAGUAUUCAUGGACGAUAUUCUGAUAUUUAGUGAAGAUUUGGAACAACAUCAAUAG
rnacentral:rRNA from 1 species